CAGCAGCCAUAAUUUAUUGCCACGUGUUGAGAACCUGCUGCAACCCAAGCAUUGCAGUGAGCUCUUUAUUUAUAUCAGUCAGUAUGGCCUCUGCCGUGUCACAGACAGGAUACCAAGGCUCAGAGUGAUGGGCUGCAUGGUUAUAGCCUUCCAAAGUCUAUAAACUGUAUUCUUGACUGCCAAGCUGACAGCCUUCAGAGCUGUGGCCUUGGAGAGGUGAUUAGGUCAUGAGGGUGGCCCCACCCCUCCCGAUUGGAAUUCGUGCCCGUAUGAGGCCCAAAGACCUCUCGCCCUCUUUCAACCAUGUGAGCAUACAAUGAGAAGCCAGAGUUCUGCAGCCCAGAUGAGGGUCUUCACCAUGCUGGCACCCUGCUAUGGUUUAGAUCUGGAAUGUCCCAAAAAGCUCACGUGUUUAGAGGUGGGGCUUUUGGAAGGUGACUGGAUCAGGAGAGCACUAGGCUCAUCAGUGGAUUCAUCUACAGAAGAGUUCAGAGCUGAAUGUGCUGUUAAGAGGUGGGAUCUGGCUGGAAGAGGGAUCCACAGGAGGAAACUGCACAAACACAACAUGGCGCAUUUGAGUAGCUGCAUCCCCAGAAAGACCUGGUGAACACAGUGACAUACAUCAUGGAACUGGAAUUUCUUUCACUCUGGAGGAGCAUCUACUGGGCUCCUCUGGGAGGUUCUGCUGAGCAUGCUACUGGCUGGGGCUGCAGUCCUCAGG
rnacentral:lncRNA from 1 species